rnacentral:tRNA from 1 species
ACUAUUUUGACAGAUUAGUGUGUUAAUUUUAGAAGUUAAUUAUGUGUAAAUUUUAUUAUACAAAUAGUA